rnacentral:rRNA from 1 species
UACGUAGGGGGCAAGCGUUAUCCGGAUUUACUGGGUGUAAAGGGGGCGCAGACGGCGAUGCAGGCCAGGAGUGAAAGCCCGGGGCCCAACCCCGGGACUGCUCUUGGAACUGCGUGGCUGGAGUGCAGGAGGGGCAGGCGGAAUUCCUGGUGUAGCGGUGAAAUGCGUAGAUAUCAGGAGGAACACCGGUGGCGAAGGCGGCCUGCUGGACUGCAACUGACGUUGAGGCCCGAAAGCGUGGGGAGCGAACAGG